GCUUACCAUGCAGUCGAGCGGUAAGGCCCUUCGGGGUACACGAGCGGCGAACGGGUGAGUAACACGUGGGUGAUCUGCCUCGCACUCUGGGAUAAGCCUGGGAAACUGGGUCUAAUACCGGAUAUGACCUUACAUCGCAUGGUGUUUGGUGGAAAGAUUUAUCGGUGCGAGAUGGGCCCGCGGCCUAUCAGCUUGUUGGUGGGGUAAUGGCCUACCAAGGCGACGACGGGUAGCCGGCCUGAGAGGGCGACCGGCCACACUGGGACUGAGACACGGCCCAGACUCCUACGGGAGGCAGCAGUGGGGAAUAUUGCACAAUGGGCGAAAGCCUGAUGCAGCGACGCCGCGUGAGGGAUGACGGCCUUCGGGUUGUAAACCUCUUUCGACAGGGACGAAGCGCAAGUGACGGUACCUGUAGAAGAAGCACCGGCCAACUACGUGCCAGCAGCCGCGGUAAUACGUAGGGUGCGAGCGUUGUCCGGAAUUACUGGGCGUAAAGAGCUUGUAGGCGGCUUGUCGCGUCGAUCGUGAAAACUUGGGGCUCAACCCCAAGCUUGCGGUCGAUACGGGCAGGCUUGAGUACUUCAGGGGAGACUGGAAUUCCUGGUGUAGCGGUGAAAUGCGCAGAUAUCAGGAGGAACACCGGUGGCGAAGGCGGGUCUCUGGGAAGUAACUGACGCUGAGAAGCGAAAGCGUGGGUAGCGAACAGGAUUAGAUACCCUGGUAGUCCACGCCGUAAACGGUGGGUACUAGGKU
rnacentral:rRNA from 1 species